GAGUUUGAUCGUGGCUCAGAUUGAACGCUGGCGGCAUGCCUUACACAUGCAAGUCGAACGGCAGCACGGGAGCUUGCUCCUGGUGGCGAGUGGCGAACGGGUGAGUAAUGCAUCGGAACGUAUCCUGGAGUGGGGGAUAACGUAGCGAAAGUUACGCUAAUACCGCAUAUUCUGUGAGCAGGAAAGCGGGGGACCUUCGGGCCUCGCGCUCUUGGAGCGGCCGAUGUCGGAUUAGCUAGUUGGUGAGGUAAAGGCUCACCAAGGCGACGAUCCGUAGCAGGUCUGAGAGGAUGAUCUGCCACACUGGAACUGAGACACGGUCCAGACUCCUACGGGAGGCAGC
rnacentral:rRNA from 2 species